GAUGAAGAACGCAGCGAAAUGCGAUAAGUAGUGUGAAUUGCAGAAUUCAGUGAAUCAUCGAAUCUUUGAACGCACAUUGCGCCCCUUGGUAUCCCGAGGGGCAUGCCUGUUCGAGCGUCAUUUCACCACUCAAGCCUGGCUUGGUGUUGGGCGACGUCCCCUUUAGGGACGCGCCUUAAAACGCUCGGCGGCGUGGCACCGGCUUUAAGCGUAGCAGAAUCUUUCGCUUUGGAAGUCGGGGCCCCGCCUGCCGGAAUACCUACUCGUAAGGUUGACCUCGGAUCAGGCAGGGAUACCCGCUGAACUUAAGCAUAUCAAUAAGCGGAGGA
rnacentral:misc_RNA from 1 species